GUAGUUUUGACGAGAAAAAAAAAACAGAUUGAACUCCCUCUCGCUCCCCAACCCUAGCGUCUCGCGCCACCCGCCGUCGCCGCCGCCGCUCCAUCCCGAUGUCCGAGCCCAUGGCAUCCACGCUGCCCGUCGCCCCAUACUAUGCGGCGCGGCUGGUGUGGUAGCUCUAGGGGCGCAGGCCUUCACGUUGAGCGCGUCCGCGUGGUCCCCACCGAGUUCAUCAAGGUCGCCAGGUAGGCCCGAGCGCCCCUCAUGGCCUCGCGCGCCAGCGGCCUGGGGUGUGCAACCAUGCAGGGGAAGCGGCAGGGUGCCGCGGUCGGAGGGGAGGUGGAGGCAGAGCUCAAUUUGGAGGUGGCGGAGCUCGAUCCGGCACCGGCGGAGGUCGAUUCGGCAGCAGCGGAGCUCGAUUUGUAGGCGGCUGAGGUCGAUUCGGUAGUGGCGUCGCAACUGGCCGAAUCCCACCGCCACACAGCCAGCCGAGGCAAGGCCCUUCGCAGGCACGCCGCCAUCUGCCCCAACGCCCGCCGCCGCCUCCGUCUCCUCAAGCACCCACGGCCUGGAGAACGCCCACCGGCCGCCGCCGGAGAACGCUGCCGGAGAACGCCGCUGCCGUAUGGGUCGCUCCUUGCCUUGUGGAUUGGUCUGGAUGUCCAACGCCGCCGCUGGAGAGCUGCUCGAUGGUUUGCGGCUUGCACAGUGUUCAAGUGCUCCACUUCUCUUAGGCCCUACAUUGCAGAGGCAUUCAUCUUCAUCAUCCUGGAUGACGCUUAUAUUUUUUAUCCCGACCAAAGUUACCAACACAUGCAAAUAAAGAGGCCUUGCCAGUAUGGCACCCUGAUUGAUUCAAAAGUUUGGACUCAUGGCGCAGCUGUGCGGCAAGAUGAUUGGAUCUGAUUGAUGCAGUUGAGUCCAGAGCUUGCCAAGAAGUGAGUAGAUCUGGCUGUUUGACCUUUUCUCUAUGAGGUGCAUAAUUUUGUAUGUCAAACUAGCUGCCAUAAUAAUGUUAGAAGCUGUCCUUGCUAAUGGGUGGGUUCAAGAUAACUAUAUUGUUAGAAAUUGAUGUAAGCUAUCAGGGAUCGUUAAUUCUUUAUUACAACUAUCUUACUGUUAUUUAUUUCAAGCAAACUAAGGUAGGUUAGGUCAGUUUUCUUAAUUCAGAUUGUACUGCAACAACUUGAAUGGUGCCGAGGAUUAAUUUCGAGGGGGUUAAUAGUUUCUCUUUGUUACCCGGCUGUUAAGCUUGAGAUCAAUGCACGAGAACUUUUAGACAAUGCACGAUCCCUGAUUGCUCUUAUCCUUCAGGUUACUAUCGCACUCAAGAUGUUCUGAGCAAGAUCAUUUCCCGAUUUUUUGGGAGAAUUUUUCAUGCCUGUUCUGAGCAGAAUUGGGCAGCGGAGUGCCAGAGUUCAGUGUAGCAAAAUGCAGUUUCUAAGCUGGAGUUCAGAAAAAAUGUGGUUGGUUGUUAGCAGGUUCUUUGCUUGUUAGCUUGGCAGAAAUACUCCUCCUCCUCAGAGUUCAGUUCACUAUUGCCAAAUUAGACCCACAAAUAUUGGUCCUUGUAAUACAUGAUGACUUGUUUCAGGAAAGAUAAUUGUAUAUACCAUUUAGAUAGAACCUUGUAUAUAUCAUUUAUAUUGUGUAACUGAUGGGAUUGCAGGCUAGCUAACUGCACAGAAUGGGGGACACCAAUAAAAGAGAUGGCUAUGCAUUUAAAGAUGUAGCAAAACAACUUCAGCACAGGGAGGACGCUCGAGCAGCUCCCGUCCAGGGUCCUCGCCGCCGUGCCGCGUGGGAAGGGUGAGGAUGAGUUCGAUGAGGACGCGUCGACCAAGCAUAAAUCUAUAUCAGGAUUUAUAUCCCAUGCUCUCUGAGCAGCUGAUGAGGCUUUGAGAAAUGCAAAUUGGUUGCCUUCAGAGAUUGAGAAGAAAGAAAGAACGGUAUCAUUUCCUUCUGUGGAAACACACCCCCUAAGUAUAUGAGCGAGAUUUUACAGAUUAUUUUGGCUGAAAUGUUUCCGUAGCGUUAGCGCGGGCAUUAUUAAUCUAUUUCAUCAUAUGCUAUUAAUCUAUUUCAUCAUCCGCUAUACAAUUAAGAAAAAUAUCAUUGAGAAGCAUAUGUUGGCUUCGAUCUUCGACUUUCUCCAACAUAAGAUAUGGGAUUGUAUUAUCCUAUCAUGUCCUGAACUGCUGUGUAUGGCCUGGUUUGAUGAUUCUUGUAAAAACUCCAGUUAUGGAUAAUCGUGGAUCAUGUCGAUCAUGGCACAUAUGUUUCACUUAUAGAAAAGGACUAGACUAAUUGACUUACAUUGCAGUUUUGUUUGUCGUAUAGCUUUCAAUUGUAACAAUGCUAACAUUUCUGCGAGUUGUGGACUCAUCGAUAGUGACGGUUGGAUAUU